GACGGCCACAUCACAUUGGAACACCUGUUUCCGUACGAUACCCACAGUUAAGCAAAGUCGAGCCUGGUCAGUACCUAGAUGGGGGAUUGCUUGGGAAUACCAGGUGCUGUAGG